UUACGGUUAUAUCACGUUGAAACACCGAUUGCCGUACGAUAACCGAAGUUAAGCAACGUCGAGUCUGGCCAGUAUCUAGAUGGAUGGCCGCUUGGGAAUACCAGGUGCUGUAA